AGAACGAACGCUGGCGGCAGGCUUAACACAUGCAAGUCGAACGCUCGUAGCAAUACGGGAGUGGCAGACGGGUGAGUAACGCGUGGGAACAUACCCUCCGGUUCGGAAUAACUCAGGGAAACUUGAGCUAAUACCGGAUACGGCUGAGAGGCGAAAGAUUUAUCGCCGGAGGAUUGGCCCGCGUUCGAUUAGCUUGUUGGUGAGGUAACGGCUCACCAAGGCGACGAUCGAUAGCUGGUCUGAGAGGAUGAUCAGCCACAUUGGGACUGAGACACGGCCCAAACUCCUACGGGAGGCAGCAGUGGGAAUAUUGGACAAUGGGCGCAAGCCUGAUCCAGCCAUGCCGCGUGAGUGAUGACGGCCUUAGGGUUGUAAAGCUCUUUCGCUCGGGACGAUAAUGACGGUACCGAGAUAAGAAGCCCCGGCUAACUUCGCGCCAGCAGCCGC
rnacentral:rRNA from 1 species